rnacentral:rRNA from 1 species
GCAGGUUGAAGGUGCGGUAACACGCACUGGAGGACCGAACCCACGUCUGUUGAAAAAGACGGGGAUGACGUGUGGCUAGGGGUGAAAGGCCAAUCAAACUCGGAGAUAGCUGGUUCUCCGCGAAAUCUAUUUAGGUAGAGCGUCACGUGAAUACCCUCGGGGGUAGAGCACUGGAUGGGCUAGGGGGCCGCGAGGCUUACCAAACCUAACCAAACUCCGAAUACCGAUGAGUAAUAUCUGGCAGACACACUACGGGUGCUAAGGUCCGUAGUGGAAAGGGAAACAGCCCUGACCGCCAGCUAAGGUCCCUAAGUUAUCACUAAGUGGGAAACGAUGUGGAAGUGCUUAGACAACCAGGAGGUUGGC